rnacentral:rRNA from 1 species
UACAGAGGUCUCAAGCGUUGUUCGGAUUCAUUGGGCGUAAAGGGUGUGUAGGUGGCGCGCUAAGUCGGGUGUGAAAUUUCGGAGCUUAACUCCGAAACUGCAUUCGAUACUGGCGUGCUUGAGGACUGGAGAGGAGACUGGAAUUUACGGUGUAGCGGUGAAAUGCGUAGAUAUCGGAAGGAACAUCAGUGGCGAAAGCGACUUCCUGGACCAAUACUGACGCUCAUGUGCGAAAGCGUGGGGAGCAAACAGG